UACCAGCACCCCGAGUGGUCGGGACGUUUAUUGGGCCUAAAGCAUCCGUAGCCGGUUCUACAAGUCUUCCGUUAAAUCCACCUGCUUAACAGAUGGGCUGCGGAAGAUACUAUAGAGCUAGGAGGCGGGAGAGGCAAGCGGUACUCGAUGGGUAGGGGUAAAAUCCUUUGAUCCAUUGAAGACCACCAGUGGCGAAGGCGGCUUGCCAGAACGCGCUCGACGGUGAGGGAUGAAAGCUGGGGGAGCAAACCGG
rnacentral:rRNA from 1 species